GCGGCGCAUUAGCUAGUUGGUGAGGUAAGGGCUCACCAAGGCGACGAUGCGUAGCCGACCUGAGAGGGUGAUCGGCCACACUGGGACUGAGACACGGCCCAGACUCCUACGGGAGGCAGCAGUAGGGAAUUUUCCACAAUGGACGAAAGUCUGAUGGAGCAACGCCGCGU
rnacentral:rRNA from 1 species